UUUUCAUAUAGGGAGGGCACCUUCAUUCCCAGGCUCUGUAAAUGAGUUGAAACUGCUCUGAAGUUCAAGGCCCCAGUGAGAAG